UGGGGUUGCUGAAUUAGAGAUUGGCACCCUUACAUUCUUUUAAAUUUGGAGUUCUAAAAUGUCUCUAAGCGCUGAAGCUAAAGCUAAAAUCGUUUCUGAGUUUGGUCGUGGUACU
rfam:Klebsiella sp. RIT-PI-d NODE_2_length_598449_cov_38.8215_ID_3, whole genome shotgun sequence.